rnacentral:rRNA from 1 species
GGUUUAUCGGUUAUGCCGCCAGGCGUAUUGCCGAGUAGCUACGUUCGGUUGAGAUAAGUGCUGAAAGCAUCUAAGUACGAAGCUUGCCUCAAGAUUAGAUCUCAUUAUAAGGGUGGUUAUAGACGAUGACCUUGAUAGGCUACAGGUGUAAAGGCGGUGACGUCAUAGCCGAGUAGUACUAAUUGCCCGAAAGUUUUUGC